rnacentral:misc_RNA from 1 species
CCCAAGUAAUAAUAGAAUUCACCGCACCUAACACACAACUCAACAAAACCGAACCUCAGCAGACCACAAAUACUCCACCCUUAUUCCUAAGGCCACGCAGCUGUUACAAGUCCAAAUAAGCAUGCACAAAUUGGAAUGAGGAGGGACAACUUGUUUAUACAAAAACAGGUGACAAGUUAACCAUUUAUUAUAUAUGCAGAGCUUUGAGCAGUUUCCCACACUAACGGUUCCAUCAUUUUCAUAUCUAUAGACACACAAUGAACACCACUUCAACUCCCUAGCUGUCUCCUCUUUCUAAGUCCAAAAUUCCAAAUAGCUCUAUGGAAAUCAAUAAAAAGGGGAAUAUUGCAUUGGGCAAUUACUAUCUCACAUAUUCUUCAUGCCAUCAGACUCUGUUAAAGUCUGAUCUAUCGACUCCAGUUGAUUCCUCAGGUUCUGAUUGUCCUCUAGCAAGCGAUCAUACUCUAGAAGGAAACCUUCAGAUUGUUUUCGCAAAGCCUCCGCUUCAGUUUCUGCAGCCUUUGCUUCCUUCACUCUUGCCUCGCAUUCAGAUUCUAGAUUCUUGAUCUUAGUCUUCAAGCUAACAAUCUCUUCCCCCAGCGCCUUGAUCUCCUGUGAAUUACCAUUUUUCCCAUCAUCAAGGCUCCGGCUUUGUUUCUUAGCAGCCUCCAUUGUCUUUCUGAGUAAACGUAGCUCUCUUAUGUAAUGGUGCAAUCUAUCUAUCAUAAAUGAAAGGAAUAGCAAGAAUCCUGCAUGAAAUUAUUUGUGAAAUCAAAUGCUAAACUUUUAAGUAAUAAUAUCAACAUGCAUUAUUUGAUGAUUACUACCAAUCCAAGUCAAAGCCUCCAGCCUUCAGUAAAAGUCCACAUUGCAACAAAAUAUUCCACCACAUUCCAACAAAAUAUAAAGAUUAAAAUAAUAAUAAUAAUAAAUAAAGCUGCUUUCAGGAACUUGUGCACACACUAAACCUCACCAUUCUUUUCCUGCAUAUAGUAAAUACGCUAUACACCAUGCCAUAUUAGAGUGUGAAGCACCAACUUUUGAACAAGGCAAACUUGAACAGAAGAAGAAGCAUUGUAUUAAACUACUGUUUCACAGAGCCUUCCACAAAAAUUAAUCAAGAAGUUUAGAUACUGCCACCCAUCUCUAGGCAACAUAAAUUUAAUUGCUAGCAUUUCAAGUAAUGUAAUGAGACUUAUGCAACAGCAUAGAAUUACAAUUCAAUAAAUCAAAAUCUUAAGCGAAUUAUUAUUAACUGCAGGCAAUCAAAAGCAGCAAUAUUAAAGUGGCAUAUUAACAACACAACCAGCAUCAAUAGUUCAGAAGCAAAAAUUAACCAGCCUUAAAUCUUGAUCAUUGGAAAAAGGAUCUUCAAACUUCAUUUGAGAUAAAUGACCAGAUGAUGUAGAACAAGCUCUGACACUAAAUUGAUGUAGAACAAGAAGAAACUAA